rnacentral:rRNA from 1 species
GACGAACGCUGGCGGCGUGCUUAACACAUGCAAGUCGAACGGAAAGGCCCUGCUUUUGUGGGGUGCUCGAGUGGCGAACGGGUGAGUAACACGUGAGUAACCUGCCCUUGACUUUGGGAUAACUUCAGGAAACUGGGGCUAAUACCGGAUAGGAGCUCCUGCUGCAUGGUGGGGGUUGGAAAGUUUCGGCGGUCGGGGAUGGACUCGCGGCUUAUCAGCUUGUUGGUGGGGUAGUGGCUUACCAAGGCUUUGACGGGUACCCGGCCUGGGAGGGUGACCGGCCACAUGGGGACUGAGGGAGGGCGCAGACUCCUACGGGAGGCAGCAGUGGGAAAUAUUGCACAAUGGGCGGAAGCGUGAUGCAGAAACGCCGCGUGCGGAAUGACGGCCUUCGGGUUGUAAGCCGCUUUCGGCUGUGACGAAGCGUGAGUGACGGUAAUGGGUAAAGAAGCACCGGCUAACUACGUG